ACGGUAACAGGAAACAGCUUGCUGUUUCGCUGACGAGUGGCGGACGGGUGAGUAAUGUCUGGGAAACUGCCUGAUGGAGGGGGAUAACUACUGGAAACGGUAGCUAAUACCGCAUAACGUCGCAAGACCAAAGAGGGGGACCCUCGGGCCUCUUGCCAUCGGAUGUGCCCAGAUGGGAUUAGCUUGUUGGUGGGGUAACGGCUCACCAAGGCGACGAUCCCUAGCUGGUUUGAGAGGAUGACCAGCCACACUGGAACUGAGACACGGUCCAGACUCCUACGGGAGGCAGCAGUGGGGAAUAUUGCACAAUGGGCGCAAGCCUGAUGCAGCCAUGCCGCGUGUAUGAAGAAGGCCUUCGGGUUGUAAAGUACUUUCAGCGGGGAGGAAGGGAGUAAAGUUAAUACCUUUGCUCAUUGACGUUACCCGCAGAAGAAGCACCGGCUAACUCCGUGCCAGCAGCCGCGGUAAUACGGAGGGUGCAAGCGUUAAUCGGAAUUACUGGGCGUAAAGCGCACGCAGGCGGUUUGUUAAGUCAGAUGUGAAAUCCCCGGGCUCAACCUGGGAACCGCAUCUGAUACUGGCAAGCUUGAGUCUCGUAGAGGGGGGUAGAAUUCCAGGUGUAGCGGUGAAAUGCGUAGAGAUCUGGAGGAAUACCGGUGGCGAAGGCGGCCCCCUGGACGAA
rnacentral:rRNA from 1 species